rnacentral:lncRNA from 10 species
GUGAUUCUCCGACCUCAGUCUCUCAAAGUGCUGGGAUUACAGGCAUGAGCCACUGUGUCCAGCAUUUUCUAUAAUUUUUAUAUAUAUUUUGGCAAACAAAGAUUUGUAAAUGGAUGUGUGCUUGUAUUUUGAAAAGAAGGAGAGUCAUUUUAAAUGUACUUUAAUCUGUGUUAAAAAUCUUCCAAUUCAGCUGGGCAAGGUGGCUUGCGCCUAUAACCCCAGCCACUCUGGAGGCCGAGGUGGAAGGAUCACUUGAGGCCAGUUGGGUAAGGUAGCAAGGCUCCCGCUCUUAAAAAAAAUUCUAAAAAAAUUUUUAAAUUAAAAUCCCUCAACUCAAUUUAGCAUACAUUUAUUAAGCACUUAAUAGGUACAGUAAAGAAUACUAGGCAGUCUUUGCCCUAGAAGAAUUCCUAAUCUUAGAGAAUUCUGUAAAUCUUCUGUGAAUUCACAUUUGUCAUCAGGCCAACAUUUAGAAACUUCUUUGUUUCACUUCCAGUCGACUGUUGUUGAACUUUUGCCACUGGCAAGCCAAACAAGUAACUUGUUAAGAAUAUAUGUAAUCUGCAGGAAAGACAUCUUAGUAAAGAGUUGUGGAUUAGGGUGUGGGUACAGAGGCUGUUUCAAGAGUCUUUUUCUCGUGUGUGUAUGCGUAUGCAUGUACAUGUAUCUAAAUAGAUAUACAUAUGAAUAUAUAUUUUUUCAGUGCUUACUAUGUGGUAGGCACUGUGUUAAGUGCCUUUAGGAUGUUAUUUUAUCCUCAUAAUUACAAUCCUUAUUUUAUAGAUGAGAAAACCGAGGCCUAGAAGGAACCUGCACAGGGCAUACAGUUAAUGAGUGGCAAAUAAGAUAACAACAAGAUCCCUGUCAAGUCUAUGUUUAUGACCUCCAUAUAGCUUCUCAAAAAGUAUUAAAAUUAUGGAAUAAUUGAUAAUAGCUAAUAUUUCUUAAAUAUAAUGUAUGAAGACUUUGUACUAAAUACUUUGAGAUACCAUCUUAUAAUAGCCACACAAGUAGAUACUAUUAUUAGUCCCCCGCCUCUUUUUUUUUUUGAGAUGGACUCUUGGUCUUGCCCAGGCUGGAGUGCAGUGGCACAAUCUCAGCUCACUGCAACCUCUGUCUCCUGGGUUCAAGCAAUUCUUCAGCCUCAGCCUCCAGAGUAGCUGGAAUUACAGGUGCCUGUGACCACGCCCAGCUAAUUUUUGUGUUUUUAGUACAGAUGGAGUUUUACCAUGUAGGCCACGCUGGUCUCAAACUCCUAACUUCAAGUGAUCUGCCCAUCUCAGCCUCCCAAAGUGCUGAAAUUACAGGUGUGAGCCACUGCACCCAGCCUUUUAGUCACAUUUUUACAAUUAAGGAAAGUAAAGUUCAGGGAGGCUGGGGAAUUUGCUGAAGGUCCCGUGGCUGGUAAAUAAUGAAAUCAGGAGCAGAACAUGGAAGUGCUGUGUAUUUUCCAAACAGAUGAGAUUGCCCAAAGUCUGAAAAGGAGUGUUAUCCUAGUCUAGUAUUUCAACUGACUCAAAAGCAUUUGCAUUUGGUAAUAAUUAUGUGAAUCAUUACCUUCAUUGUCCUUUUCACUGAUAACGUCAACCUGGUCACGUCACUCCUUGGCUUACCAGAGAAGCUGAUUCUGAUCAUGCACUGCACGAGUUCAACUUAAAUAAAACUUCGUUAUUUAUUAAAAAAAAAAUUCCUAGAGAAUUAUCUUGCAUUUUACCAAUACAUACAGGUGAAUAUGGUUUAAAUCUUAGAAUUCAAGAGAUGUGGCCAUUUAUGUUCCAGCAAAACAUGCCCUAAGUCAUCAUUAUUGCCUUUUCCUCCAGUUGUCCCUUGCCUUCCAAGGCACAUGGCUGUGCUUUUUAAAUUUCUAAAGAGAAACAAAAUAAAGGAACACAUUUUUAAAUCACAAAAUUUCACAAAUUUUCAGAGUCCAUUGAAGACAUUUGAUGAAUAACUCUCAAUGGUCUCUCAUUACUAGGGGCAUCCCACACUUUAGAACUAAAUUAUUUACUUCUAUUCCACAUAAAUGUGCUCUCAUUUUUAUUGUUGUAAAUUAUUUACAUCUAAAAUGUUGAAUCAUGAAACUGAGGUCUCUGAUGGUACAGAAAUGAAACCCACAGCAUUUGAAGCUUCCUGCAUCAUUACCUUUCCUUGCUUCAUAGUUUAUGCUUUUGUCUAAUAGCUGUGUCCUGGAGUCACACUUUGGAAAGUUGAGGUGGCUGGUUUCUCACAUUUUUUCCUUGGUGAGUAUAAGCUGUGGUGGGAAAGGUGUAGGUGGGCUGCUUGAUGCAGUCCACUAGUGGUCCGUAACAGCAGUCGUUCAC